AUUGAACGCUGGCGGCAGGCCUAACACAUGCAAGUCGAGCGAGCGGCGGACGGGUGAGUAAUGUCUGGGAAACUGCCUGAUGGAGGGGGAUAACUACUGGAAACGGUAGCUAAUACCGCCUACCAUCUGAUGUGCCCAGAUGGGAUUAGCUAGUAGGUUGGGUAACGGCUCACCUAGGCGACGAUCCCUAGCUGCUCUGAGAGGUUGACCAGCCAAACUGGAACGGAGACACGGUCCAGACUCCGACGGGGGGCAGCAGUGGGGAAUAUUGCACAAUGGGGGAAAGCCUGAUGCAGCAAUGCCGCGUGUGUGAAGAAGGCCUUCGGGUUGUAAAGCACUUUCAGCGGGGAGGCGUUACCCAAAGAAGAAGCACCGGCUAACUCCGUGCCAGCAGCCGCGGUAAUAC
rnacentral:rRNA from 1 species